GAUGGGGGCAGUGGUGAUGUCAAAAUAAGUGCCUGAUCAUGACUUUCUUCAUGUUUUCUGCACUAAGUCUCCAAUUCUUUCAUUUCAUUGAGUUAAUCCUAUCUAUUUUUCAAUAGAUAGGAGCUUAUUUUCCACCUCCUCUAAGAAGUCUUUUCCGUUGUCUAGAUCCACAUUUUCUUUGAGGUUCUACUGCGCACUUCAAGUUCGUAAGACAGACUUUACACUCCACUCUUCUCUAGUUGUUUCACAUAUUAUGUACAUAACCAUGAUCAAAACCAGUCGCCAUUCUUG
rnacentral:lncRNA from 1 species